rnacentral:rRNA from 1 species
UACAGAGACUGCAAGCGUUAUUCGGAUUCACUGGGCGUAAAGGGUGCGCAGGCGGCCGAGUGUGUGAGGCGUGAAAGCCCGGGGCUUAACCCCGGAAUUGCACCUCAAACUACACGGCUAGAGCAUUGGAGAGGGUAGCAGAAUUCAUGGUGUAGCAGUGAAAUGCGUAGAUAUCAUGAGGAAUACCAGAGGCGAAGGCGGCUACCUGGACAAUUGCUGACGCUCAGGCACGAAAGCGUGGGAGCAAAGGA